ensembl:lncRNA
GUGCUGGGUACUUCCACUUACAUUUCAGGUACUGCUCACUGCCAUACAUUAAAAUACAGAAAAUGCUCUUGGUCAAAACUGAAGUCUGUUUUUUUUGGAUGGUAUUAUGUUAUACCUCUUUUGCUUCAAUGGGCUCCACUAGGCUCUGCGGUGCUCCUGUCAUGCAGCUUUGGGUCCACCUCUCUGGGCAUUAGCCCUGGCCAUGGCUGGGUGGUGUGGAACCAGGGCUCUGGUUCUGGUGCCAGCCUGGUCAACAUCACGUCCUCUGGGAAGGUGGACUUUCCGGACCCCAGGCAGGGCAGAGUGAAGGCUUUCCCCAAUCAGGGAGGUCUGGGGAACUUCUCCAUCCUAAUCGAUGCCCUUCAGGCCUCAGACGUGGGCUCCUACUGUUGUGAGCUGCAGAGUCAUGACCAGUGCCAUCGAGUGGAAGUUGAAGAACUUGAAGAAGGUUCACACAUCGUGUUGUUUUUCAGCGUCGGCAGUUUGGCCAUCCUCCUAGUGCUCCUAAGUGGCUGUUUCUGCUGAGUGAAAUGGACACGAGUUUCUACUGAAAGAACACCAGACUAUAUCAACACCCAUUUCUGUGCAGGAUCCAGUGCACCUCCUGAGGAUGUUGCAUGUAGUGACAAUGUCGGGAGAGAUGUGGUACAGGAGAGAGGUAAAAGACGUACACACAUAGGCUAAAACAGCAUGUGCUCACACUCAAACACACACACGCGCAUGCACAUGCACACACAAACACAGUGUUUUAUUAUGUCUAUGUGGUUAAGAUUCUUCAACAUUACAGCAUCACUCUAUAUUUACUAAACAAGACCACAGACUGAUGCAGACUGAUGCUCACAUCUGGUUUUUGUCUUAAUUUAGGAGUCGGCAAUGAGCGACCGAUCUAUGAAAACAAUGAACAUGAUCCAACCAGAAUGCAGCAUGAUCCGACCAGAAUUCACCAUGAUCCGACCACAAUUCAGCACGAUCCGACCAGAAUUCAGCACGAUCCAACCAGAAUUCAGCAUGAUCCCACCAGAAUUCAGCAUGAUCCCACCACAAUUCAGCACGAUCUGUCCAGAAUUCAGCAUGAUCCCACCACAAUUCAGCAUGAUCCAACCAGAAUUCAGCAUGAUCCAACCAGAAUUCAACAUGAAGCACAAAGAAACCAGCACGAACCAGUUAGAUACAAAAAUAAAUUGAGAGAUUCGAGUGAGAACAGAAGACAGGGGUUUCAUGGAGAACUCAUGAGCAGAUUGCGCCAAUCAAGUCUCGGACAGCGUUACUAUGCAAACCAAGCCGAUAUCAACCAGCAAACCAGAGUUCAGAUGGACAACCACCAAAGAGCAAACGAAGCAAAGAUCAACCAGGAUGGCAGAUCCCAAAUGGACAACUGCCAAAGAGCUGUCCUACACACUAUGCUUUACAGUAAUCUCUGAAACAAAUCAAUAUGCACUCUAGCAUUUUGUUAUUAAAGCAUUGUCUCCUCAUUGCAGGAAGCUUUUGGAGAAAGAAACCCAAAGAGCGUAAGUUGCUUUUUUUUUUACACACAACAUACUGUAUAAUCAUAAUAAUUUAUAUUAAGACCUCUCUCUCUCCCAGAAUGUGAAUAUGAAAACCCAAUCUAUAACAGUGUAGUCCAACUCCACAAACUAUAGACGAGGAUGAAGAGGAUACUGGGUCUCAACUCCUUGGUCUCAAUUUUGUUUAGAUUGUAUUUUAUUAUUUUUUGUAAAUAAAGUACAUUACAUUGUCUUGAAAGUGAAACAAAUAUGAAAUAAAGUUAAAUCAUUUUAAAAUUG